rnacentral:lncRNA from 1 species
CCCCACUCCACAUCUGCCUCAUAGGGCUUCCUUGCCUUCCUUCAUCUGGCCUUAUUGAGGGCAGCCUCUUAGCUCAGCCAUAGUCUUAGGUUUUGGGUCUCUGUGGUGGGAUUAGGCUGGGCAGAGCUUUGGGAGAAAGGAGCAGGAGAUUCAGCCUUUGCUUCUGUCCUCUAAGAGCUCCCAGACCACCUGGAGAGGUAAGCAUCAUAAUUAGACUAUAUGUGGUGACAUAUAAACAGAGGCUAAAUUGUGUGUUAGAAACUCUGAGAUAUAGAAGUUCAGAGGAGAGGAAAAUAGCUAAGGGUAAUAAUCAGGGAAAAUGUCAGAAAUGAGACUUGAAGGAUAGGAAUAUUAAGAAAAAAAUGUUCUUUCAAUUUCUGAGUUUUUGUUUUGUUUUUUUUUUUCUUUUUUAGAAAGUUUGAGGCAUGAGCCACCAUGCCCGGCCCUGUUUUCCAUCUUUCAAGGUACUGGAAUAUUCAAUGCCAUUUUCCCAGCCUUACAGUUCUAGUCUGGGCAUAAAAAACCUUCUCUAAGCACCCUGCAUAGAACCACAUUUUAGAGGCCAGGCGUGGUGGCUCACGCCUGUAAUCCCAGCACUUGGGAGGCCAAGGCGGGCGGAUCACAGGGUCAGGAGUUUGAGACCAGCCUGGCCAACAUGGUGAAACCCCAUCUCUACUAAAAAUACAAAAAUUAGCUGGGCGUGGUGGCGGGCACCUGUAAUCCCAGCUACUCGGGAAGCUGAGGCAGGAGAAUCG